rnacentral:rRNA from 1 species
UACAGAGACUGCAAGCGUUAUUCGGAUUCACUGGGCGUAAAGGGUGCGCAGGUGGCCAAGUGUGUUAGGCGUGAAAGCCCGGGGCUUAACCCCGGAAUUGCACCUAAAACUACUUGGCUAGAGCAUUGGAGAGGGGAGCAGAAUUCACGGUGUAGCAGUGAAAUGCGUAGAUAUCGUGAGGAAUACCAGAGGCGAAGGCGGCUCCCUGGACAAUUGCUGACACUCAGGCACGAAAGCGUGGGGAGCAAACAGG